AAGCGCACCGUAUAUAUGUCAUCCUGCUUUGAGCAAUAAAGCGUGACCUUGCUGCAUAACUCAGUAUUUUGAUACAUGCGAGCUCCGUGUUCGCUCCAUCAAUCGUGGCCGUCUACCAACAGACCAACCAACAAGAACAUAUUAAAAGUGGCAUCCGUAUACCCGUAUUGCCACAUACAAUCUAAGGCCCUCUGUUUAUUGAAUUAUAUAUCUUCUUGGCCUCGUUUAGAGUUGCCUUUGUCACCGCGAGCGAUCGAUACGCUGGCGCUGCUGAGGCUAACAAGGGGCUUCGUCUGCUGUGGCCAGCACUCCCGCCUGUCACCAGAUGCUCAAGGCUCUACGGCCCUGAGCCUGAGCUCCCCUCGGCGUUACGGCGGCCGGGGCCCACCCCACCCUCCACCCAGCUGUAUUUUAUACCUAAUUACACAUGUCUGAGGCUCACGGUGAGGAGUACAAAGCUGUGGGGAAUUGCUGCAGCGGCGGAGGGCCGAGGGGACUUACUGCUGGUAUCUCUCCGGUACGGAUUUAGUCAUGCUCGCAGUAGCUGUGCGCUGCUCUGAAAGACACUCAGUGACCCAGACUCGCUCUGCCUCUGGUGUUUUACAUCACUGUUGAAUGCUUGGAGUUUGUGAGGAGCUGCACAGCUUAACGGCUGCAUGAUGAAACUUCGAGUGCAGCCGAGUUAGAGAUUUCCUGCUGGCAGAAAAAUGCCUGUGUAAACUAGGAUCGCCUGGAGGAAGCAGGUGGGAUCCGUUCCAUCUGUUGUGGGAUUUAAAACACAGAAGAUGAGAGGAAGUGACUUGGGGACAACCUGCGAGGCCCACCAGCUGGUCCAAGAAUCAUCCUCCUAUCUAGAUUAUUCCAUUUGCAUUAAUGGUGCAGCCACAGAGUGAAUAGGAAACUGGACACUGUCAAAGCACAAACAUUUCAGAGCACUGUCUUACCGCUAUAAAGAGGACUCUGAUAGCACAUUAUUGUUUUAACAGCAAUGCUCUGAAUGCAUCUUUCUACCCAGUUUAAAUAAUCUCCACUUUGC